CAUCCAGAGCGGAGGACAGCUCGUUCUGUUUGGGGAACAGAAGGAGAUUAGCAAAUGAGAGCAACUCUCACCCCCGAGCCCAUCCUAACGCUCUUAAACCAAAGGGAAAAGGACGUGUUCCACUUUGCUGCCCAUUCUGAGGAGGAAGGCAUUACCUCGAAGCCAGGGAUGUGGUGGACAGCCGGCUGUGGAGGAAACACACACGAUUUCCAUUCGUGCUCCCGGGGACGGCAAACAGCAGAGCCCUCCCCCAAACCCAACACCGGCCCCCAAAUCCCUGGCAGAGGGCAGGGCUCUGCCUGCAGUGGGGAACGCAGCAGGACCCCCACCCAAGGGCUCAACCCUGACUCCUGCAGGUCCUGCACGGGGUGAGGAGGGGGUGGACAUCACCUCCCCCCAGCCCACCAGCAGCUGCAGACCCACGUGGAGGCAGCAAGCAAUAGCACAGCCAACAUCAGCAGCCCUGGGGGGCGCAGCCCCAGUCCCCACAGCAGCCCCAAUCCACGCAGCGGGGCAGGGGUCCAGAUCACCUGCAAUGGCUGCAGAAUGCAGGCAGUGGGGUGCUCCUGCAGGAGCAGCAGCUGGACCUGCAGCCCUGCAGGAGGAGGAUGCAGGAGGAACAGGACAUGCAUCCAUGCAGCAGGAGGAGCACCGGGAACCUGCAUCCUUGCAGGAGGAGCAGCAGGACCUACAUUGGUGCAGGAGGAGCAGUGGGAUUUGCAUCCAUGCAGCAGGAGGAGCGCUGGGACCUGCAUCCCUGCAGGAGGAGCAGCAGCAGGAUCUACGUUGGUGCAGGAGAAGCAGCAUCUGCAUCCAUGCAACAGGAGCAGCAGUGGGACACGCAUCCCUGCAGGAGGAGCAGAGGGACCUACAGUGGUGCAGGAGGAGCAGCAGGACCUGCAUCCGUGCAGCAGGAGGAGCAGCGGGACAUGCAUCCCUGCAGGAGGAGCAGUGGGACAUGCAUCCCUGCAGGAGGAGCAGCAGAAGGACAUGCAUCCUUGCAGGAGGAGCAGCAGGACAUGCAUCUCUGUAGGAAGAGCACUGGGAGCUGCAUCCCUGCAGCAAGAGCAGAGGGACGUACACUGGUGCAGAAGGAGCGCUGGGACAUGCAUCCCUACAAGAGGAGUAGCGGGAGCUACAUUGGUUCAGAAUCCG
rnacentral:lncRNA from 1 species